CCGGGCUGUAAAAAAAAAACAUUCACAGACUUAACUUACAGUCAGGUUUGGGGUGAGUCAUAGUUUUAGAUUUAGAGCUCUGCAAAUGUAUAUAUGUAUAUUACAACACUAGAGAUUUUGUGAAAGUACUUAAUAGCAGGUUUAACCCAAUGAUAGCAAAAUGUUGAUAAAAGUAAAACCAAAAGAUUGAAGGAUAGGUAAAAUGAAUAAUUUAAAGUAGUCAUUUCAAAUGUGGAACAAACCUGACCUUCCAGAAUGUUCAGAUUCCACUCGCCGUCUUGUGACGUGACACUGUGUCGUUCACACGCUCUCUCCACCCAAUUGUUAAUCCACUGCCUCUGCUGCUGGAGACCAGUCUUGUUCUGUGUGAUAAAGACAGUCUCACAUGUUACUAUUUCAAACACGUUUGAACCUGUCAAUCAAUCACUGACCUUGUGACAUCGAUGUUAAGGUGUGUCUGUGUCUUCUCUGCAGGGAUCUCAGUCUAACGGCGUCUCCAGACCUCCACCUGCCUACCUGGCGGGAGGGAACCCUUUCGCUACAGUCAGGCUACGUCCCACCGUCACUAACGACCGUUCUGCACCGGUCAUCUGAUCUGUCCACAUUUCUACAUCUUCACCACCUUAUCACCAUCCUUCACCCAGGACAUGCAGCGUCCUCUGGUGUGGAUGAGACGGUGGCCUGCAUGGACAAACUGAAAUUAAAAAAAAAAUGCCAUUUGAAAAUACUGUAGGAUCCCCUCACUGCUGCAUAAGGAAGUAUUCCAGGGCCGUUUUAUUACCGAACCAGAUGCUUUACAUAUAUUUAAAGUUUUUUUUUUUUAAUGUCUAUUUUUGUGCUUCUGUGUGUGUGUGUUGUGGUGAUGUUUAAAUGACCACAAAUUUAAUCUGUACUUGAGAACAACGUGAAUAACAAUGGUCAGCGAUUAUAUAAAUAUAUAUAUAUAUAUAUAUAUAUAUAAAUAUAUAUAAAUAUAGUGUCACUUGUGAGUCGUCACAGCAGCGCGUUGGAAGUCAUUUCUGUUGCCACACGACGGUAGACGAAUGAAGACGAUGUCUGUGUUUCACCCUCAGGUCCUCAUGAGAAUGUUGCAACAUUAAUAAGAAUUGCACAUGUGAAGAGAUGUGAGGCGUAAUAUUAUUAUUAUCCACAGAAAUCUCUUUUGUAUAUACAUUUGUGUAUGUAUAUAUAGAGUAUAUACGUAUGCACAUAUAUUCAAGAUCUUUUUUGCCUUAUUUGCCUAACAAAUGACAGGACUCUAAGUAUUUCUGCUCCAGUCAUCACACACAGCAUUGUUCGACCAGUCUGCCCACUCGGUGUCACUCAUUAGUCACGACAGAAAAUGCUGUAUAAAAAAAUAAAGUUUUGUUUCUUCUGUU